CGUGUGACAAUAUGUGAGAUUGGGUAAAAUUGCUGAUUUAUAAAGUUGUAAUUUGGCGUCUACUGGGAUUAGAUUUCUAAGCCUUACCAACACACCAACUUUUUGGCUUGCUUUCUUACAUAUUUCACUGAUAUGAAGACUAAAGUUCAGCUUAUCGUCAAGAGUCACUCCUAGCAGUUUCAUUUCAGUAGACGAUUUAAUUAUUUCUUCAUCAAUCUUAACCUGUAUAGAUAGGUUGUCUUUAUUUCUAUUUUUUCUGCCUAGCAACAUCAAGCUAUAUUUAUCAUAGUUCCCUUUGAGGAAAUUAUCUUUAUACCAUUGUGAUAUCUUAUGUCCUUCUUCGUUCAAAAUUUGUUCCAGAUAACUGGAUAUUUCAUGAGUUUUGGGAGUAUUCUGUCAUAAGCGUAGCUUUUUGUAAAAGCCUUAGAAAAUAAGACUCAAACUACACUAACACAUCCCACAUACUUGGGCUGCCUGUGCCCUAGGAAGUCAUGGACUAGGUCUACCCACAAGUCAUUUGGGUCAUUUUCCCGCCUUCCCGCUUCCUCAUUCGUUCAUGUCCUCCAUUCAAAGAGGAUGGUUUCCGCUUGAUUUUCUCUUCAAAUACCCAACUCUGAGACAUUUAUCAGCAAGAAAAGUAAAAUAACAGUGAAUUGAAGUAACUGACCAUUUUUCUGAGCUCUAACGACGUGAUUUGAGAGGCGACUCGACUUUGUUAACUGAGUCUCGUAAAAGAAUCUCCUACGAGCGAGCGAGGCAAACAACGAGCCGUAGGCAUGCGCUGACAUUCACGAGAGCGAAGAACAGUCACAGCUUUCACGCGAAGUAAAUGGUCAGACCAGCGAGCAAGCUUAUGAAAACAGGAACCAAUACGAAUAGCCGCCAGGGGGCGAUAGCCAGGUAAGUCUGUGGGUACUUCGCGGGGUCGGGCCGCAUUUGGUCGUUUCCCUAAAGGUACAGUUCACGGUGUUUUGAUGUUACCUUGUUCACAGUUUCAUAAGCAAAUAACUUUGGUUCUCAGGCUUCUUCAAUUUUUUUUGUGCCGGCACCGGAAAUGCAAAUUUUAAAGAUGCUUUUCACGGUCGCACUUCCAUUUACAAAAUAUACUGUUAAUAAAUCCUUGAUGUGUCCAUCUCGAAGCACACGUGAUAGCUAUAGCUAUCACGUGUUUAUCUCCAAAAAGUUUUCUUUUUCAUAUAAUUUUGUGCUGAAGCUGAGGCAAUAGCAAAAGCCAUAAUUACCAUGCUUUACAUUCUAAGAAUCUUCGCAUAGAAGGAGAUGGGGUUAUAUGGAAAAAGAAUAAAAGCUCGGAAUACCUGCCCACUCAAUUUUUCAAUCCAAAAUACUGCCACUGCAGUCUCUGGUCUAAUGAUUUAAUUAUAUUCAGCCUCAACUCACUCCAGACUCACUGAAUGUUCCCCUUCUAACAAUAUCCAUUAAUGCUGUUCAAGUCAAGUCCUGUGUUUCUCGAGUCACUGUUUCAUAUUUUUUAAAAGUUCCUUUACAUCAGCCAGAAACUCCCAAAAGAAGUCUUUGUCCUUGUUCUUGUACUGCCACAUAAACUCUGCCAGAUAAGAGGAGAAAUUGUAUUUGCAGAUUCUGAAGGGUGGUAAAGUGAUU